GACGAACGCUGGCGGCGUGCUUAACACAUGCAAGUCGAACGAAGAGCGAUGGAAGCUUGCUUCUAUCAAUCUUAGUGGCGAACGGGUGAGUAACGCGUAAUCAACCUGCCCUUCAGAGGGGGACAACAAUUGGAAACGACUGCUAAUACCGCAUACGAUCUGACCUCGGCAUCGAGGAUAGAUGAAAGGUGGCCUCUACAUGUAAGCUAUCACUGAAGGAGGGGAUUGCGUCUGAUUAGCUAGUUGGGGGGGUAACGGCCCACCAAGGCGAUGAUCAGUAGCCGGUCUGAGAGGAUGAACGGCCACAUUGGGACUGAGACACGGCCCAGACUCCUACGGGAGGCAGCAGUGGGGAAUCUUCCGCAAUGGACGAAAGUCUGACGGAGCAACGCCGCGUGAGUGAUGACGGCCUUCGGGUUGUAAAG
rnacentral:rRNA from 1 species